rnacentral:lncRNA from 1 species
CAUCUCCUCCAAGGCCAUGUCCAUCAUGAACUCCUUCAUCAACGACAUCUUCGAGAAGCUCGCCGGGGAGUCGGCCAAGCUGGCGAGGUACAACAAGAAGCCCACCAUCACCUCCCGGGAGAUCCAGACCUCCGUCCGCCUCGUCCUCCCCGGCGAGCUCGCCAAGCACGCCGUCUCCGAGGGCACCAAGGCCGUCACCAAGUUCACCUCCUCCUAGGCUGAAUCUGAAUGCGUCGCCUUGUUGUAGUUGGCUGCUGUUGACUCUGCUUAUCUCUCUCAAGUAGUGGUAGUAGUAGUUGUGCACUAGAUGAUUGCCAACGCUUUGUUGGAUCCUUGGUUGUUGCUUUUGCAAGCUGAUAUCUAUGUAGAAUGUGGAAGUUGUGGUUGUGUAUCCGUAUCCACAGUGAUGAUUUGACAGAUGUUGGCUUUUCUACUCUUCUGAACUGAACGCAGCCAUGCCUGGCCAAUUUGCAUUUUGUCUGCGAGUUCUAGUGCUGAUUGAUCGGAAUGCAAA